UCUUCAGUGUAGCAUCCAACUCUUAAGAAUUUCAAGCCUAAAUAAGAAUUAGAGCCACUUGGAGGUAGCGACAGCAUGGGGUGAGGCACCAAAUUAAUGUGAUUCAUGGAGAAUUUAAUCUAAAAGAGAACUGGAUGAUGAGCAGAGCCAGUACUCAUCCAGUGCCACCCAUCCAUCACACCAUCUUUGCACCAUAGCACCUGUGCAUCACAUGAUUCCUAUGCCACGCCACCUGUGUGCCAUACCACCCACACACCACACCACCCAUGCAUCACACCACCUGUACAUCACGCCGCCUGUGCACCACACUGAUCGCAAAUCACACCACCCGUGCAUCACACCACCUGUACAUCACGCCGCCUGUGCACCACACUGCUCACAAAUCACAUCACACUGCCUGUGCACCACACUGAUCGCAAAUCACACCACCCCUGCAUCACAGCACCCAUGCAUCACACCACCUAUGCAUCACACUGCCUGUGCACCACAUAGUUUAUGCACCACAUCACCCGUGCAUCACACCACCAG
rnacentral:lncRNA from 1 species